UAUUUAAGAUAAUUCGUUAUAGCCUAUUUUUAAUAAAUAUAAAUCGUAUAUGAGAAACGAUGAAAAUUCGCAACAUACUACGUAUGAGUAAGCGUUUUAUCACGACCUCUGUCACAAAAGCAACUCUUUCUCUGUAAAGAUUACCUUGAAAACACCUGUAAAAUUGUUCUGUAAUGCAUGCUUAUGCAGUUUGUUCACGUGAAAGAAAUAGUAUAUAAGUACUUACCAUUGAAAGAAAGACUACUUAUUCAUCACACUCACACAUUGAUUAAAGUAAUAUUAUUUAUUAUCUUUAACUCAGAUUAAACAAAGUUAAAAAGUGCAGUUAAAAAAUAUUCGUAAAGAAGGAAAUGAAUUAGAAUAGAUCAUUUUUCAUAUAUUUCGAGAAUACCGAUUUUCCAAGAAAAAUUAUUUUAACGUUUUUAAGAUUGUAAAAUGUCAGUUUUCAAACUUCAUAUUUAUUAUUUAAUAUAUAUAAUAAAUUAUUAAAAUUAUGAGUUUACAUAUACUAUCAUUUAUUUACAAAAUAUAUUCAUAUAUGUAAAUAUCAUUUCUUUCUUGAAAGACAACAACAUAUAUUUUGCAUUAUAUGGACCGUAUAAUAUAAUGGUAAUAUUGAAUAAUGAUAUUGACAAAGAAAAUAAAAUCGAUAUUAUAAUUAAUCUCUUUGUGUUACGGACUUUGUAACAUACAUUCGAAUUAUGAUUGCGAGAUGUACAUUACUCAUCCAUGAAUAAAUAUAUAUAUAU